UUCCCUUCACUUAAAAUCAUCUAAGUGACACGAUCCCUAACAUGGUACCACAUCAACUUGGUAUCAGAGAAAAACGUCAUGUAGGACAGCAAUUCCAUCAUGCAUCAAAUAAAGGUCUUCAUGAAACAAUGCCAAGAAGACAGGCAGCAAGAUCGCAAGGAAAGGGAGCAAGAACAUUUGUUCUGGACAGCCAAGAACCAUGAAUUGACCACAAGGCUAUAGACUCUUUCGCAUAACUCACUUCAAUGCGUCUGAAGCAUGGUUUCAAAUCACGGUCGCGG
rnacentral:misc_RNA from 1 species